ensembl:lncRNA
CUACUCCCCAAGUACCCCCAGCUACACUCCUACUCCCCAAGUACCCCCAGCUACACUCCUACUCCCCCAGUACCCCCAGCUACACUCCUACUCUCCCAUACCCCCAGCUACACUCCUACUCCCCCAGUACCCCAGCUACACUCCUACUCUCCCAGUACCCCAGCUACACUCCUACUCUCCCAGUACCCCAGCUACACUCCUACUCUCCCAGUACCCCAGCUACACUCCUACUCUCCCAGUACCCCCAGCUACACUCCUACUCUCCCAGUACCCCCAGCUACACUCCUACUCUCCCAGUACCCCCAGCUACACUCCUACUCCCCAUACCCCCAGCUACACUCCUACUCUCCCAGUACCCCCAGCUACACUCCUACUCCCCCAGUACCCCAGCUACACUCCUACUCCCC